rnacentral:snRNA from 1 species
AUACUUACCUGGCAGGGGAGACACCAUGAUCAGGCAGGUGGUUUUCCCAGGGCGAGGCUCAUCCCCUGCACUCCGGGUGUGCUGACCCCUGCGAUUUCCCCAAAUGCGGGAAACUCGACUGCAUAAUU